AACGAACGCUGGCGGCAGGCUUAACACAUGCAAGUCGAACGCGUGUAGCAAUACACGAGUGGCGCACGGGUGAGUAACGCGUGGAUAUCUGCCUUUUGGUUCGGAAUAACUCCGGGAAACUGGAGCUAAUACCGGAUGGUUCCUACGGGAUAAAGAUUUAUCGCCAAAAGAUGAGUCCGCGUACGAUUAGCUAGUUGGUGAGGUAAUGGCUCACCAAGGCGACGAUCGUUAGCUGGUCUGAGAGGACGAUCAGCCACACUGGGACUGAGACACGGCCCAGACUCCUACGGGAGGCAGCAGUGGGGAAUAUUGGACAAUGGGGGCAACCCUGAUCCAGCCAUGCCGCGUGAGUGAUGAAGGCCUUCGGGUUGUAAAGCUCUUUUGGCGGGGACGAUGAUGACGGUACCCGCAGAAUAAGCCCCGGCUAACUUCGUGCCAGCCGCCGCUGUAACAC
rnacentral:rRNA from 1 species